rnacentral:lncRNA from 1 species
UGAAACAUUUCCUCAAAAGGAUAAUUAUGAAAGUUGAAAAGGACAAUUAAGAAAUAAUGAUUGUUUCUGAUACGUUUAUAGUUUUAUUCGUUGUUUCAAGGGUCCACGAGCUAUUUCCUCACCAGAAGUAUCGUAUAGCACUAAAUGUAUCCUAAACUACGACCUCAUGCUAUUUAUCCCCGAGAAAAAAAAUUUGAAAUCUAUUUCACCAUGAAAAUUAAGUUUCAUCUUUAUUUCCACAUGAAUCUAAAUAUUGCAAUCGAAAAUCCCAUG